rnacentral:rRNA from 1 species
CAGUCGCCACGGUAAUACGAGGGAUCCUAGCGUUGUUCGGAAUCAUUGGGCGUAAAGAGUAUGUAGGCGGCUUUGUAAGUCAGUUGUGAAAGCCCCGGGCUUAACCCGGGAAGUGCAAUUGAUACUGCUAAGCUUGAAUUUGGAAGAGGGUAGUGGAAUUCCUGGUGUAGUGGUGAAAUACGUAGACAUCAGGAGGAACACCGGAGGCGAAGGCGGCUACCUGGUCCUAAAUUGACGCUGAGAUACGAAAGCAUGGGGAUCAAACAGGAUUAGAUACCCCCGUAGUCCCUGUCUCUUAUAC